GACGAACGCUGGCGGCGUGCUUAACACAUGCAAGUCGAACGAUGAAGCUGGAGCUUGCUCCGGUGGAUUAGUGGCGAACGGGUGAGUAACACGUGAGUAAUCUGCCCUUGACUCUGGAAUAACUGCGGGAAACUGUAGCUAAUACCGGAUACGACACCUUCGGGCAUCCGAUGGGUGUGGAAAGAAUUUCGGUCAAGGAUGAACUCGCGGCCUAUCAGCUAGUUGGUGAGGUAAUGGCUCACCAAGGCGACGACGGGUAGCCGGCCUGAGAGGGUGACCGGCCACACUGGGACUGAGACACGGCCCAGACUCCUACGGGAGGCAGCAGUGGGGAAUAUUGCACAAUGGGCGCAAGCCUGAUGCAGCAACGCCGCGUGAGGGAUGAAGGCCUUCGGGUUGUAAACCUCUUUUAGUUGGGAAGAAGCGAAAGUGACGGUACCAACAGAAAAAGCACCGGCUAACUACGUGCCAGCAGCCGCGGUAA
rnacentral:rRNA from 1 species